rnacentral:rRNA from 1 species
AUGGCUCAGGAUGAACGCUAGCUACAGGCUUAACACAUGCAAGUCGCGGGGCAUCAUGGUGUGUAGCAAUACACACUGAUGGCGACCGGCGGAUGGGUGAGUAACGCGUAUCCAACCUGGCCCUAUCUCGGGCACAGCCCUCGAAAGAGGGAUUAAUUCCCGAUGUCCCACGAGUUCGCAUGUUCUUGUGGGCAAAGGCCUUUGCCGGAUAGGGAUGGGGAUGCGUUCCAUUAGGCAGUCGGCGGGUAACGGCCCACCGAGCCUUCGAUGGAUAGGGGUUCUGAGAGGAAGGCCCCCCACACUGGGACUGAGACACGGCCCAGACUCCUACGGGAGGCAGCAGUGAGGAAUAUUGGUCAAUGGCGGCAACGCUGAACCAGCCAAGUAGCGUGAAGGGAUUACGGCCCUAUGGGUUUUAAACCUCUUUUGUUGGGGAGCAACCUGUGCCACUAGUGGCACACUGCGAGUACCCUUCGAAUAAGCAUCGGCUAACUCCGUGCCAGCCGCAGC